AGUAGAUUUUCGGAGGAAUAAUCACAUUAUUCAGUUAAUGAAUUAUAGAAUAUUGUUUUAAUUUGAUCCGGAAAGUUCCUUUUCGCAUUGUUAAAUGAGCUUCCUUAAAUUUCAACAAUCCAUGUUAAACGAACAAAUGCUAUCAGCAGUUUAUAUAUAUAUAAAAGGGACCAUAUCGUGCCAUACAAUAUAUAUCAUUGCUUUAGAUAUUAGUGUUUAAAACGGCGUUUUAAGCAGUAUUUAAUAAUUGUUCGCGAAAAAACCCUGUUGUCCAGGCCGUUCAUAUUUAAUGAUUUCGCGGACACACUGUAGUGUAACACAGCGUUACGUUUCCAAUGGAAACAUAUUUUCUGAAGGAGAUUUAUCUCCGAUUUUGUUUAUUAAUGAAUUUGUUUCUAUUAUUAUUUUAAGACAAACAAAGCAAAGAAUUUUAGAAUUUAAGCGCCAUGCCAUCUUGGUGUUAAAUAAGAUACUACCUGCACGUGUUCACAACUUACACGGUGCCCUUACGAGCAGCAAUUAACUGUUUUGCUUUGAUGCAACAGUGGGAGAACGUACAAUAUAUCCUGUGAUAUUUCGAAAUUUCUUUUCUUCUUUUUUGUCUCCCAAAGUGCAUGGAAAUUGUUUUGUAAUUAUCCUCUGAAAGUCUGAUUGUAUUUGAAAGAACUAGAAAUGAAGCCUAUAAAAAGUUUUUUUUUUAAAUGGUUAAAGAUUGGUUUUUGCACGAUAUAUGAUGAUGAUGAUGAUGAUGAUUGCUGAGAUUUUAAAAUGUUUGUAAUCAUGAUUAUGAUGUUUAUUUAUAUCAGUAACGAAAAGCAGUGGGUGUUGACCAAAUAAAUCCUUUGUAACCGUUUCUAUAUCAAAGCCGUUUGUAUAUGAAAUAUUUCAUGAUAGUUUUUUCCGAUCCAGAAAAAUCGCCAGGGUUGUUUGUCAACCUUUUGGCUUUGUAUUCUCACAAAUCUUGUAUUGUAUGAUGUAAAUAUAGUUAUGAAUGAAUGAAUGAAUAUCUACUGUAUAUACAUAUAUUGUCGCGGUAUAAUGUAUGUGAUAUUACUGCUG
rnacentral:lncRNA from 1 species